CCAUCAUGCACAGCUUUAUCUCAACGACCUCUUCGUCUUUAUCAUAACGCACACGAUGAUAAUCAAACGAACUUGCCGAAGAUUCUGGGAAUUGCGAUUUUGAAUGACCGUUCUUUAUAAACCGUCAAACCUCGUGAUAGAAAUUGUUUUCUUUUGCUGCUCUCUGUUCUAAUUAUUCAGCCGUGCUAGUCUGCAUUCGUCUCCGGCCAACAUCACUGCUGCGACCAUUCUUCGUUUUCUGUUGUGACUAUCGCGACUAUCGCGCUGAACUCCAUCAUCACCGGUGUCGACUUUUGAUUCGCGAUCAGCCCAGGUUCGGAACUUUCGUGCUGCCGCCUUAGUACUCCGCCACUCGUGUUCCGUUCGGUUCAGUCCGAUUCACGCCACUGGAAGUUACUCGUGUUUCGCAGACCUUGUUUCACUCUCGGAUUUGUUUCGGUUCGACAUUUAAGGUAAUCAUGGGAAACGGGGAUGAGUGAGAGGAAAUGAAGUUUAAGAAGUUUUUGAAGUUUCCGUUUUUGGUGGAUUCGAGACUUUUGUUUCUUGGUUUCUAUCGUGUAUUGAAACUCUUUGGUUUUUGAUAUCUGUAAUAGUGACAUGCCAACCCGUUCUGGGUUGGGGUGUUACACAGGCCCUGGCCGGUGG
rnacentral:lncRNA from 1 species